UAGCACAGAGCUGCCUUGGGUC
rnacentral:misc_RNA from 1 species